CACUGCGCUCAGACAGUAGAAGGGGACAGAACGCAGCAGCUCAGCUGUAAACAGACUUCUUUCUUUAUCAUUACUUUCCCGUUUUCGGACUUGUUGAAGUGAUGUGUGUAGCCCAGAACAACCACAUCCAACUUCACAUGUAACGUCAAAUAUAACUUCAGAGUUAACUUCAUGUUCGAGUUGUAAAUAAAUCUUCCUGGAUCUCAAAGUCA